rnacentral:tRNA from 1 species
GUGUCAGUAGCCCAAUGGUUAAGGGUACGGAUUUCCGAUCAUGAGGUCUGGGGUUCGAAUCCCGCCUAUCACA